UACAAUAACGUGUUUUUAUCU
rnacentral:piRNA from 1 species